AUGUUACUCUUAUUUUCUUGUUGCAGAAACAGCUUCAGUGAUCAGGAGUCCAUAAAAUCAUCAAUGAUCCACAACCAGCCACAAGCCAGGAUGGAAAAGAGUAGCCAUAGAGACAGCUCAGGAAGCAGAAUGAGUUCCUAGAGGUUCUUCAGAUCCUGUAGCAUUACAGAGAGCUGAGCUGGUGAUUUACUGUGACAGCCAACCUUAGUCAUUGCCUAUCCACUAUGAGUUUGUGCCCACCCACAUUUUCAGUCCUAGCUUCACCACUGUCCCAGGUGCUCCAAAGAUGCUGCUGGAGUAGAAGACCUGGAUCUGCUGGCAAGGUAAUAUAAACUAAGUAAUUAGUAGGUGGUGAGACCGAGCAAUACUGAGCAUGGGCUGGUCAGUGAUGGUAU
rnacentral:lncRNA from 1 species